GCAGAAGGGGAUGUCACAUCUGGAGGCAACGGAUGCCUUUAUUUUCAAAAAAAGGCAAUAAAAGGAAAGGCUUGGUUUCUCAGGUCGGGGCAUGAUUGAGUCAACGAGUCAAACCGGGGAGGUCUUCUGUGCCUCAGCCAGUGCCAGGCCCUAGAGAUGUGGACAUCUAAACCAGAGUUUCCCACAGCCUGUUCUGGGUGCUUCUCUUUGGCCCACGGAGGGAAGGGGUGUGCGAUUGCUUUCCCAUGACAGUAAAAUGCAGCUAAGCAGAAAGGACGUGGGGCUCAGGGCUGGAAAAGACAUUUAUGACAACCUGGAAAUGCAAUCCAUUUGGCCCAGUCCAGCUCCACGUGACAAGUUGGGGCAAGAGUUCCAUCUAACGAUAAAAUAACUCCUUUUCGUUGCACGUGGUUAGGUCUUCCCCGGGCCCCACAAGGUGCAGGGCUCCAGGGCAGGUGGGUUGUGCCUGGGGUGCAGGAGUGCUCCGAGAAGGGUGGUGCCCGGGUAGCUCUGCCUUGUGCACUAACCGUCCAGUUAGAAGACCAUUUACACCUUGUCAGUAUUUUAAAAAACUGGUAAUUCUCUCCCCUCCGGUGCAUUAUUUCCACCUUACCGAAUCUGGAAAGGAGGCCAAAGAAGUUGCCGAAGAAGUUGGCAUUUUCAAAGCCAAGAGCCCCUUUUCUUCUGCUGCAGGAGCCUUCUGGAUGCUGGUGUACAUCAGAGACUCGAAUGCCAAUGAGAAUAGCUAGCUAGUCAGCAGGAGAUGGCCAGUCUUAACACUUCAUUGUGUUCAUAAAAUCCUGAUCAUUAGCAAAGAGGCAAUUUUAGACUUAAAGGCUGGGCUUCCUGCCUAAGAGAGAGGGCUUCCUGUGUCCUAAGAGAGACUCCACUGGGGGUGCCAUUCACCUCCCCCUCUCAAUCUUCCCUGCAAUCGUGUGUGUGACAGCAAGGACUCAUGUUGACUCCUUAUCCUUUCUGUGAGCCAUUUGAUCAUGACUGUUUUCCUCCUAGUUGUUGAAGAUUCCUUUUCUUCAGGUGUGAGCCUUUUAAGGACGGAGCUUAGCCUGGAACCACGGGGAUAUCCUCAGAUGGACAUACCUGCAGUCUCCAGAGUGGCUUUUCCCCUGGAACGAAUAGCUCACGCUUCACUCUUGGGCAAAGGCUCCUGCUGCUCAUAAACAUAUGACCAUGGCCUACAUGCACACUGCAGGUGGUGGCACAAGCCGAGUUCCUGGUCCUUAACUUCCCUUCUGAAUGUAACUUCAUGUCUCCCCCCCUUGGGAAAGAGGUUAAAAACCAAAAAUUAAGUAGUGUAAUGAGUGCCCUGAAGAGGUAGCUGUGGUGUGCCAAAUCACCUCCUCUGUCCGCGGUGGUGGGUCGGGUCGGGUUCGGCAAAGGCUUCCUAGAGGAGGGGGUGUCCUAUGAGGCCCGAGUGGUCAAAAGGAAUUCGCUGUACACUGGAGAGUUUCAGGCAGAGUGAACACCUUGAGAGGUGGUCCAGUUCACUGUGAAUCAGUUCUCUGUGCCAGGAACAUGGGGCAUGCUGGAGGAUGUGAUAUGGGGAUUCAGGAAAGGUAAGCUGGGGCCAUGAAGAAGGAGAAUUUCUCAUUUUCAGUCCUGGUGUAUUCCCAUGGGCGCAGGAAGGAAGCGCCUGGAUCAGUAAUCCUUUCCUCCGAAAGAAAUGAUUUUCCUCUAAGGGGUACUUCCUGGUACCCUGGUAGGUGGGUGGGGUCCCCUGCUAUUAUCCUACCCCACCUUACAGAACGCCAGCCUAGCGAUUGAAAAUUCACGUUGCAGAAUCAGCGGAUACUCUGUAAAAGCAACCGUGUGGUGUGGGGACAAAAAGCCUGGAAAGCGUGUAGGCAAAAAGCAGUAACUGUCCGGGUGAUGUCUUUGAUGGCGGAUUUUAUUCUUGCCUCUACGUUAUGCGUUUUCUUUGGUUUUGUUUUACCAACUUUAAAAUUAUAUUUAAAAAGAAUUGUAUUUGAAUUAUAUUAAAAAAAGAUAGCUUGGGUCUCAUUUCUAGGUCACAGCACGAGAAACCCAUCUCCCAGGUGGCAUUAGUCUUGGCCUGUACUGUAUUAGCAGAGGCUCUGUUGGUAAAUCAUAAGGCCCCAAACUGAGGUCUGUAGAAAUAUAGGUGAUUUCUCUGUAAUGGCAAGAAGUGUUAUCCUGUAUCAGCCUAACGAAUUUGCUCUUUUCCUUUUUUAUGGCACCCAUUAGGGUGUUUCAUUCAUGGUGUUGCCAUUUCAGAAAGUGGGAGGAAAUUCGGCAACACUGUUUGCGGUAUGCCUGCAGAAUCUCCUGCUGGCUGGGGGGUCCCAGAGAGCUGUGUGUCCAGCAUACAAUAUCCUUUGUUUAAGCAUCUGUAUCUUUCCCUCGCACAGGCAAUCAGUGCAAGGAGGCAAUCACGUUUGCUACGCUCAUGCAGCCCAGGGAUCGAAGCACAAUUUGGCAUCUUUGUCAUUUUCAAAAAUCAAAUCUGCCUAGGGACCAAGUUCCAACAGCAGCUGGUUUUGCUUUAUGUUUUAUUUAAAGACAUUUAAUUUUGAGCCUUGCAUGUUUCCAAUUUUUCUUUCUUUUUUUUUAAAUUUUUUUUUUCAGAGCAGCCGGUGUGCAUGUAUAGAAUACCAUCAAUUUAUGUGUAGUAAUCCUUUUAUGGGUGGUCAAAUAGGAGCAAAUCAGAUUAAAGUUAUGAUAGUUAUUCAUGAUUUUUUUUAUUUUACUUAAAAUAAUAGAAACUAUACACCAAAUAUAUAAAAUACUUACUCCAUGGCAGGCUUUGGGCCAAGUGGUUUAUAUACAUUCUCUAACCAAGCCUUACCAGAAUCUUAGGAAGUAGACAGAGAAGUUAAUACCCAUUUUAUGGGUGAAGUCUUGGAGGGGUAAUGACUUGUACAAGUUCUCGUGUCCAAUCAGUAGGAAGCUGAGACUUAAAAAAAAAAUUUUUUUUAAUGUGCAUUUAUUUUUGAGAGAGAGAGAGAGCAAGGAAAGGGCAGAGAGGGAGACACAGAAUCCAAAGCAGGCUCCAGGCUCUGAGCUGUCAGCACAGAGCCUGAUGCCAGGCUCGAACCCACGGACCGUGAGAUCAUGAUCUGAGCCCAAGCCAGAAGCUCAACAGACUGAGCCACCCAGGUGCCUCAAAGCUGAGACUUUAACUGACACAUGUGUUUGAUGCCAUGUCAUAUACAUGAAAUAUAAUCUACGUGAUACCACAUACGUGUAUAUAUGUGUAUAUACCCAUAUACGUCUUAUCUGUACAUAACACUCAAACUUUUAAACCACAUUUCCUCCCUUUCUCCUUCUCUUUCAGUGUUUCUACCUCUCAGCCUCUCUGCUCCUUCUGAUUGUUGCCCAGCCCUGCUUGUCAUACACAGACUGGGACCUGGGUGGGCAGAGCGUCAGACCGGUGCGCAUCCUACGUGGCUCUUACAGAUCACCGAGGCCCAAAGUGGAGGAAGCUCGUGAUCUUGACGCCGGCCAUCUGGGGGGUUCUCCCUUGGCCCUGCUGUUUGCUGGUUGCACAUUAUUGGGCAAGUCCCUCAGGUCCUCUGAGCCUCAGCUUCCUCAUCUCGCGCUGGUUGGUGCUCACCAGAGUCGGUGGCUUAUGUGCCCCCUAUGUGAGCGUUACCCAUGAGAAGGGCUGUGCAUGUCACUCUGCCUCUCCUCUGGGGCCUCUGUGAUGAGGAUUUAUCUUUCAGGGGAGACAACAAAGAAAAACAGGAACCGCCGCAGAGCCAGAAUCCCAGAAGAGCAGGAGUCAGAAAAGGUCACAUGGGAUCCAGCACGACUCCAGACACCGGAGUUAGUCACCAUCCCAAGGCGGAGGCAUCUGGUUUUUCCUACUCCAGGAAUUCGUCAUGAAAACAGCCUCACCACCUUCUGCUUCUGCUUCUACCAAACCUGCCAUUACUGAUUAACUUAGUUCUUUUUUUUAUACAGAUGUUUUAACAUUCAUUCCUUUUUUGAAAGACAGAGAGAGACAGAGCACGAGUGGGGAGGGGCAGAGAAAGAGGGAGACACAGAAUCCGAAGCAGGCUUCAGGUUCUAAGCUGUCAGCACAGAGCCGGACGUGGGGCUUGAACUCACCAACUGUGAGAUCAUGACCUGAGCUGAGGUUAGAAGCGUAAUGGACUGAGCCACCCAGGCGUCCCACUGAUUAACUUCUUUCUAUUCCUGUCUCUCUGCCUUGAGGCUUUUGCUACCUCGUGCCUCCUUGCUCACUGCCUUCUCUUCUGAGUUUUUCUGCUUUUGUUUCUGUUAAAGACCACCGGCUCUUUCCGUGGGUCUCACACUCAAACUGCCGAGGGAGAAGAUUUAGUUGGUUAGCAGCAGUAUUGUGCUGGUUAAUGUUCAAUAAUGGGCUGUCUGUGGGAGGACUGGGUGGGGGGAAAGCCCUGAUUUGUAAUGUUUGAUGAUUUCCAUGGUGCAAAUAAUCCCACUGUGGUUGAUUUCAGCUAUCAACAUGAUGUCACCUGACUCCUCAAAUCCUGAAAAUGGAACUGAGAACCAGUAUGAGUCAGAUCCAGGAUAUCACGGUCACCCCUGUGUGCCACUGCAUAGUUUCUGGUCAGUUUAGGGAUCAGCUGAUCUUGAACUGGAUUUCCAACUUGGUCCACAUACAUGUGACCAAGGUAUUGGGCUCAGAUGUUUAAUCCGUUUUAAAAAGUCCUGUGACAUGUGGGCUUCCUGGUUCAUAACAAGCUCCCUAACAUAAAUAUUAUUUAACUAUCAUUUCAUGGAUGUCUCUGAGGCCUUAAUACAUGAAGAGGAAAGAUACAAAAUGAAGAUAAAUGAGUAAAAAUUAGAAAAUGACUGAUGAUACAAGAGAAGUGUAAAAAAUAAGCAGGGGGAGUUCAGAGAUAAUGCCAUUUCCAGGUGGAAGCAAACCAGAAAGGCUUUUGGAUUACCUAGAAUUUGGACUGAACCUUUAAGGAUGGCGGGACUUCGGAGCUAUAGAAACAGGGAAGGGGGGAAGUAGUCAAGAUACAGAGAAUGAGAACUGAAGAAAAAUGUGGAUUGGAGGAAGCAGGGAAUAAAUAUGGAGUUAGUGACACUUCAUUUCAUUGGAGCAAAAGGUACGUGAAGGGAAGGACACGGUGAUCAUUAUUAUCAAGGAACACUGUAGAGGGUCUUGUGUGUCAAAAUAAGGUGAUUGGUAUAUACCACAGUGCUUUACUCUGUUGCUGUUACCAAAUGGAAGCAAAGUAUGUUUGUGAAGGUUAUAUCAAUAUCAUGACAUGGGUCUAUUGGAAUAGAAUUUACAAAACUUCUGAUAUUAACAUGGUGCUAAGUCCCAUAAAUUGGUUCCAUACCCUCUCGAUGCUUUUAAACAGCUGACAUUAUUAUUUCUGUUAACUUUUUGUACUGUCUGUUAUCAAUAAGAUGAGACAGAUCGCUAGUGGGAAUAAGGCUGGGAUGAAUCCAGAGACCUGGGUUCUGGUCUCUGCUUUGUCACCGACUCAAGGAGCGACCUGAAGAAAAACAUUUCAUUGCCAACCUUGGUCCAUUCUCACAUCUCUAAUCUUGCAGGGUGGUUAUUUGAUGGUUGCUUCCCUAGAUUUUCCAAGUCUGUAAUCACUUACACAUAACCUCUUCAAAUUAUUUCAGAUAAAGUCAUUCAUUAUUUGGGUACUGGCACAGGGAAAAGAACUCCAUGCCCUUGGCAUAGAUAAGCUUCCUUUGCUGGAAGCACUGUCAAAGUUCAUAUGUGACAUAGGGGAUGAGAAUUCUGGUUGAUUGAGUUUUCCUGUUAAAGGGAAUAUUAACUAGUGAAACUCACUUAAACCCUUGCUGUUUGCAGUAUGUCUCAAGUAUUCUAGUUAACUUUUUUGGCCUAAGAAACCCAACUUUUAAAAAUAGGAAAGUAACCAUUAAGGACUAUACACAUGACUGUCACUGAAUAAUAAUAAGAAGAAUAACAAUAAUAAUGGCUAUUAUUUAUUGAACGUUUCUUCUCUGCCAGGUACUGACCUGAGAGCUUUACAUGCAUAAUCUCUUAAAAUAUCGCUAAGACAUAUAAAAGCCAGGCUAAAUGCACCUUGUAGUGGGUUGAAGGGUGGCUCCCCCAAAAGAUGUUUAUGUUCUAAUCCUUGGAACUUAUGAAUGUGAAUGAAUGUGAUCUUCUUUGGAGAAACAUCUUUGCAGAUGUAAUUACGCUAAAGAUCUUGAGAUAGAACAUCAUCUGGGUUUUCAAGAUGGGUCAUAAAUCCAAUGGCAGAUGUCCUUAUAAAAUCCAAUCUCUGGGGGGAGAGAUUGCAGUGAUGUGGCUGUGAGCCAAAGAUCUGGAGGAGGCAGGGAACAGAUUGUCUCCUACAACUUUCAGAAGGGGCUGACACCUUGAGGUCAGACUUUGGGUCUUCAGAACUGUGAGAACAUAACAUUUUCAUCUUUAAGCCACCAAGUUCGUGGUAAUUUGUCACAGCAGUCAUCAGAAAUGAACACACACACACACAUAUAUAUUUUUUUACAAAUACAAAAUGAGGCACAGAAGGGUCAUUUAAACUUACCUCAGAUCCCAUAGUUGGUAAGUGACAUAGCAGGAGACUAACCCAGGCAGCUUUAGAGCUUGCCUUCAACCUUAAUAGAAUGUUGUACCUCAUAACUAUCUUCAUCGAGAUCUAAACACUACAAGUCACAGUACACUCUGAACGGUGCUUUGAGAGCAUGAGGCAAACAUAAGAUGCUUUAGGAGUACAUCAGGGUACACGUAACCCAGCUCUUGGGGCGUAUUAGCGAAGGUAUCCUAGAGGAGAUGAUGAUAGUGGGCCGAGUUUCAAUGAUGAAGAUAUUUUUCCAGCAAAUAAAGUGGGGAGAGUUUUCCAAGAAGAGAGAUCAACCAAGGAGGGUGAGAAAGGACAAAGCACCUUUAGGGAAUUAUAAUAGUUAGAUGUGGUCCUGGGGGUUCCUGGAAGAGGGAUGGGAAAUAUGACAGAAGAUCGAAGUAAAGACCAGCUGAUGGUGGGUCUUAUGUACCAAGCUAGAGACCAUGGAGUCCUCAGGCAGUUGGAGAGGUGGGGUAAGCUGGUGCAGGUCGAUUGCAUGAUCAGACCAGUCUCUUACGGACGUGCAGUGGAGAGUGCCCUGGAAGACAGAAAAGAGGGGGUUGAUAAAGAAGCAGAUUGGGAUGCAUGUUAGAGCACUGGAGGUGGUGAUGGAGAGGAGAAAGCACAUUUAGCGAACAUUUUUACAUGGGACAUGAGUAGGAUCCAGUGGCCAGUGGGAUGUCAAGGGCAAGAGGAAGGAGGGGCAUGGGCUGCCUUGCAGGUUUCAGGUUUGGAGAACCUAAUGGUAGUGUCACUGGCUGGUACACGAAAUGAAGGAGGCACACACUUUGGAGUAGUGGCAAGGAUGGGGUUGGAGACAGAGAGUACUGAUGGGUGAGGACCUCCUGUGGUUUUUAUUCUGGAUACGUGAGCAUCUGCAUAUGGCGCAUGGCUUUGGAAUUACUGUGGUGGUACGUAUUGAAUUUACAACGUUCUCUAGAAGAAGGAAGAAGGGAGCCAACACUGACUAUAUACUAUGGGUUGGGUGUCUAACUUACAUUGUCUUAUCCAGUCCCCAAAGUAAAACUUCCAGGUAAGUGUUAUCCGUAUUUCAUGAAUGAGGAUGUCAAUUAAAAUGUUAAAAUGAUUAAGUAACUGGACCAACGUCGCAGAGUUAGUCAGUGUCUGGGGAGCCCAGAUUUUAGAUCUCGUCUUCUUUCCUGCUGCCUCCUGGACAUGAAGGUAGAGUGCUUUUUGAGUCAUAUCUUUUCCAUUUAUUAGAUGUAUGACCUUUGGAAAUUUGCUUAACCGUUCCUUGCCUCAAUUUUAGCAGCUGCCAGAAGGGGAUAAAAAUAAUAGUGCUUGUUCUCUUUGACUCAAAUAAGGGUCUGUGACUGAAAUCUCUGCAAAAAGCCUAGAAAAUAUACAAGUAAUUGUUUGUGUGAUUAGCCUAGACUUUUUAAAUUUUAGCUUCUAAGGUUAAUUCCUGGGUGUAGCAAAUUUUCUUGCGAGUUUUCUGAUUUCCCCCUAAAAGUUUAGUAGCAAUUUUUAAUAGAGUUUUUAAAAUUUGGGCUUAUUUAAAUAUUCCUAUUCAAAUCACUCCAUGCAGUUUCUAAAUGUGCUUCUCUAAAAACCUACAAAACCCCACUCCAUUGAAAUGGGUUUGUGUUGGCUGCGUGAACACCAGAUCUAGCCAUUUGCCUCAUGAAAGGCGUUCAACAACAGACAUACCUUCUGCUAAACUUAGAGGUGAUAUUAGAAGAAAUAUCCAGCGUCUCAACUGAGCAAGACAGGCUUAGGUCCUUUACAAGUACCUAGUAGGUACGGACCAAUUCUCAGUCAUUCUGUGAAC